AGUGCGCACGCUCCGUAUCCCUGACGUACCGCAUUUACUUUGCCCACAACUCUUUUCCCUAAAUCAAUUCCAUCAAAACAAUCCUGUUUCUAAAACGUGUAAACUUGCAUUCGGUGUCCGCGCGAAAUGCGGAUUCCUUCAUCGGAACGGAAGUCCAGAAAUCUGCUUCAUAUCGCGCUUCUAAUGUUUGUUAUUGUACAUCGCUGGAUACUAUUUUCGCCCUAAAAGUACAAACUGCAACGGUCUAAAUCCUCUUUCACGUGCAACUUGCCAAUUCGUCAAUUAAAGCAAUAAUAUAACUGCCAUUUAAUUCUAAGUGCUAGGUUUCUUUAAACACAAAAGUGGAGAAUUUUACGGCUCCUACAACCAACGCCGGACCCACUCCGGUGAGCGACAGAUACAGUGUCAUUCUGACGAUAUCUACCUCCACCUCCGACGGAUACGCUCUGACAAACG